rnacentral:rRNA from 1 species
UCCAGACUCCUACGGGAGGCAGCAGUGGGGGAUAUUGCACAAUGGGGGGAACCCUGAUGCAGCGACGCCGCGUGGGUGAAGGAGCGUUUCGGCGCGUAAAGCCCUAUCGGCAGGGAAGAAGGAGGACGGUACCUGAAUAAGAAGCCCCGGCUAACUACGUGCCAGCAGCCGCGGGAAUACGUAGGGGGCGAGCGUUAUCCGGAUUCACUGGGUGUAAAGGGAGCGUAGACGGCCAAGCAAGCCAGGGGUGAAAGCCCGGGGCCCAACCCCGGGACUGCUCUUGGAACUGCGUGGCUGGAGUGCAGGAGGGGCAGGCGGAAUUCCUGGUGUAGCGGUGAAAUGCGUAGAUAUCAGGAGGAACACCGGUGGCGAAGGCGGCCUGCUGGACUGCAACUGACGUUGAGGCCCGAAAGCGUGGGGAGCAAACAGGAUUAGAUACCCCAGUA